rnacentral:rRNA from 1 species
UACGAAGGGACCUAGCGUAAUUCGGAAUUACUGGGCGUAAAGCGCGCGUAGGCGGAUAAGUAAGUUAAUUGUGAAAGCCCAAAGCUCAACUUUGGAAUUGCAAUUAAAACUAGUUAGCUAGAGUUUAUCAGAGGAAAGCGGAAUACAUAGUGUAGAGGUGAAAUUCGUAGAUAUUAUGUAGAACACCAGUUGCGAAGGCGGCUUUCUGGGAUAAUACUGACGCUGAGGUGCGAAAGUAUGGGUAGCGAAGAGGAUUAGAUACCCUCGUAGUCCAUACCGUAAACGAUGAUUGUUAGAUGUUGGAAAUUUAUUUUCAGUAUCACAGCUAACGCGUUAAACAAUCCGCCUGGGGAGUACGACCGCAAGGCUAAAACUCAAAUGAAUUGACGGGGACCCGCACAAGCGGUGGAGCAUGUGGUUUAAUUCGAAGCUACGCGCAGAACCUUACCAACACUUGACAUGUCUGUCGCGGAUUCCAGAGAUGGAUUCCUUCGGUUCGGCCGGACAGAACACAGGUGCUGCAUGGCUGUCGUCAGCUCGUGUCGUGAGAUGUUGGGUUAAGUCCCGCAACGAGCGCAACCCCUACUUCUAGUUGCCAUCAGGUUAAGCUGGGCACUCUAGUAGGACUGCCUGUGAUAAGCAGGAGGAAGGUUGGGAUGACGUCAAGUCCUCAUGGCCCUUACGUGAUGGGCUCCCCCCGUGCUCCAAUGGCAGUGCCAAUGAGAUCCUAAACAGCGAUGUUAAGCUAAACUCAAAAACCUGCCUCAGUUCGGAUUGCGUUCUGCAACUCGAGUGCAUGAAGCUGGAAUCGCUAGUAAUCGCUCAUCAGCGCGGAGCGGUGAAUACGUUCCCGGGUCU